rnacentral:rRNA from 1 species
CCUACGGGUGGCAGCAGUGGGGAAUAUUGCACAAUGGGCGCAAGCCUGAUGCAGCCAUGCCGCGUGUGUGCAGAAGGCCUUCGGGUUGUAAAGCACUUUCAGCGGGGAGGAAGGCGGUGAGGUUAAUAACCUCAUCGAUUGACGUUACCCGCAGAAGAAGCACCGGCUAACUCCGUGCCAGCAGCCGCGGUAAUACGGAGGGUGCAAGCGUUAAUCGGAAUUACUGGGCGUAAAGCGCACGCAGGCGGUCUGUCAAGUCGGAUGUGAAAUCCCCGGGCUCAACCUGGGAACUGCAUUCGAAACUGGCAGGCUAGAGUCUUGUAGAGGGGGGUAGAAUUCCAGGUGUAGCGGUGAAAUGCGUAGAGAUCUGGAGGAAUACCGGUGGCGAAGGCGGCCCCCUGGACAAAGACUGACGCGCAGGUGCGAAAGCGUGGGGAGCAAACAGGAUUAGAUACCCGAGUAGUC